rnacentral:rRNA from 1 species
GACGAACGCUGGCGGCGUGCUUAACACAUGCAAGUCGAACGGAAAGGCCCUGCUUUUGUGGGGUGCUCGAGUGGCGAACGGGUGAGUAACACGUGAGUAACCUGCCCUUGACUUUGGGAUAACUUCAGGAAACUGGGGCUAAUACCGGAUAGGAGCUCCUGCCGCAUGGUGGGGGUUGGAAAGUUUCGGCGGUUGGGGAUGGACUCGCGGCUUAUCAGCUUGUUGGUGGGGUAGUGGCUUACCAAGGCUUUGACGGGUAGCCGGCCUGAGAGGGUGACCGGCCACAUUGGGACUGAGAUACGGCCCAGACUCCUACGGGAGGCAGCAGUGGGGAAUAUUGCACAAUGGGCGGAAGCCUGAUGCAGCAACGCCGCGUGCGGGAUGACGGCCUUCGGAUUGUAAACCGCUUUCGCCUGUGACGAAGCGUGAGUGACGGUAAUGGGUAAAGAAGCACCGGCUAACUACGUG